AAGACAAGUCUCAGUCUACCGAUUCUAUCCUAGAGGCCCCUCCUUUCAUUGAUCAUCAAAGUUUGUUGGGUUUUAUUCGGAUUAAGGUGGUGUAGUUUUAUGUUUUUGUCUCGUGUUGAUGUUAGUUUUAAGCUCCUGUGUUGACUCUGGGUUGAAGUUUUAUCAUGUUACAUAAUUGGAUAUGCAAGAUCAUAGCAUGGUUUUAGUAUGAUGUUUGGCCCAACACUAGGUGCAAUAUCUUAUAUAUGGUGAUAUGCAAUUCUAGUGCAAGAGUCUGUUCUGGUAUUAGUUAAUUUAUGUCCUUAAUUAUCAAUAAGGGCUUUCUGGGAACAUGCGCUCAGCCUGUGUUUAGGUUUUCGUUGUGCUGGAUAGUAAGUUCUAAAAAUCUCUUAAUCUCUAGAUGGAUUUGCAAUUAUGUUUGUUUUGCUUUCGUGUUAUCCCAGCAAUAUGAAUGAUUAAUUCCAAGAAAAAAUAUGCAGCGCAGGUACGUACCUAUAGCUAUUUGUGUCUUAAACUGACCUUGUAUGAGUUUGCCAUGAUCAGUAAUAACACUCGGAUUUUUGGUGAUCGAUGUUUGCUGCCAUGCAUGAAUAAUGAGCGCAUUUCCAUUGAUUAAACUGAAAAGAAAUGUUGGCAAUAAUAGCACGUUUAAAUUAAUUUAUAGGGGAGAAAAGAAAAUGUCGAUCCCGCCGAAUUCACCAUGGAGAGGAUGUGCAGCAAACUUCCCCCAACCUGUCGAUGAAGA
rnacentral:lncRNA from 1 species